UGGGGAAUAUUGCACAAUGGGCGAAAGCCUGAUGCAGCAACGCCGCGUGAGUGAUGAAGGCCUUCGGGUUGUAAAGCUCUGUCUUCUGGGACGAUAAUGACGGUACCAGAGGAGGAAGCCACGGCUAACUACGUGCCAGCAGCCGCGGUAAUACGUAGGUGGCAAGCGUUGUCCGGAUUUACUGGGCGUAAAGGAUGCGUAGGCGGAUACUUAAGUCAGAUGUGAAAAUCCCGGGCUUAACUUGGGAACUGCAUUUGAAACUGGGUAUCUAGAGUGCGGGAGAGGAAAGUGGAAUUCCUAGUGUAGCGGGGAAAUGCGUAGAGAUUAGGAAGAACACCAGUGGCGAAGGCGACUUUCUGGACCGUAACUGACGCUGAGGCAUGAAAGCGUGGGGAGCAAACA
rnacentral:rRNA from 1 species